rnacentral:rRNA from 1 species
GAUGAACGCUGGCGGCGUGCCUAAUACAUGCAAGUCGAGCGAACAGAUAAGGAGCUUGCUCCUUUGACGUUAGCGGCGGACGGGUGAGUUACACGUGGAUAACCUACCUAUAAGACUGGGAUAACUUCGGGAAACCGGAGCUAAUACCGGAUAACAUAUUGAACCGCAUGGUUCAAUAGUGAAAGGCGGCUUUGCUGUCACUUAUAGAUGGAUCCGCGCCGUAUUAGCUAGUUGGUAAUGUAACGGCUUACCAAGGCAACGAUACGUAGCCGACCUGAGAGGGUGAUCGGCCACACUGGAACUGAGACACGGUCCAGACUCCUACGGGAGGCAGCAGUAGGGAAUCUUCCGCAAUGGGCGAAAGCCUGACGGAGCAACGCCGCGUGAGUGAUGAAGGUCUUCGGAUCGUAAAACUCUGUUAUCAGGGAAGAACAAAUGUGUAAGUAACUGUGCACAUCUUGACGGUACCUGAUCAGAAAGCCACGGCUAACUACGUG